rnacentral:rRNA from 1 species
UCGGGUUGUAAAGCACUUUUGUCCGGAAAGAAAACUUCUGCCCUAAUACGGUGGGAGGAUGACGGUACCGGAAGAAUAAGCACCGGCUAACUACGUGCCAGCAGCCGCGGUAAUACGUAGGGUGCGAGCGUUAAUCGGAAUUACUGGGCGUAAAGCGUGCGCAGGCGGUUUCGUUUAAGACAGAUGUGAAAUCCCCGGGCUUAACCUGGGAACUGCAUUUGUGACUGGCGAGCUAGAGUAUGGCAGAGGGGGGGUAGAAUUUCCACGUGUAGCAGUGAAAUGCGUAGAGAUGUGGAGGAAUACCGAUGGCGAAGGCAGCCCCCUGGGCCAAUACUGACGCUCAUGCACGAAAGCGUGGGGAGCAAACAGGAUUAGAUACCCUGGUAGUCCACGCCCUAAACGAUGUCAACUAGUUGUUGGGUCUUCAUUGACUUAGUAACGUAGCUAACGCGUGAAGUUGACCGCCUGGGGAGUACGGUCGCAAGAUUAAAACUCAAAGGAAUUGACGGGGACCCGCACAAGCGGUGGAUGAUGUGGAUUAAUUCGAUGCAACGCGAAAAACCUUACCUACCCUUGACAUGGUCGGAACCCUGCUG